UAAAUAUCCUGUGAUAUUUGCCUCAAAAGUUUGAUUGCAAUAUUCCUGCAAGAAUCCUCGUUUUCACACUAGGAAAGGAAAAACUGUCGAUAGAAUACUUACGGAUUUUCUCGCCGGUGGCUUUACCUUCCCGUUGCCGCUGAUAACCCCCCCUGCCGUCGGUUCACGGAUGUCUUUUUUCCCCUGCUCCUGCUACCUUUGAGGAUUUCCUACCUGAAUCCCGAUCUUCCUGCAGGCAAUAGCUUUCGAGAGGAAUUAGAGCAUGCCAACUUGAAACUUUACCAUGCUUAUCCAGGUGAUUUGGAUGCCAAGAGGUGGCUGGCUGGCUGGCUGGCUGGCUGGCUUAUCCAAGAAUCUGCCGCAGGUUAUUGGAGAUUUUGAGGAUGUGAAGAUGCUUCUCAUUACGGACAUUCUUCUUCUUCUUGAAGUAGCCACCAACCCCAUUGGCCAUUUCCAGCAAUUCUUCCACAAGAGGGACAGACACAUCUGCAAAAAAAAGUUGUGGCAUUAAGAAUAAUCAGAGGAAUACUGAUUAAUUGUUGAUAGUUGGAUGUAUUUUAUGUUAAUGUGUCGAAAUGGAGAUGGCAAAAGAACCAAAUCACAAAAUAUGAACAGCAAACAAUGGAAUCAGAAAUUUAUAAUGCAUAAAAAACAAGAUGGCAAAAGAACCAAAUCAAACCAAGUCCUAAAUCCCAAUCUAAUUUUAUGUAGUUGGGCUUGACUCAUACCUUUAAUAUAGUCAAAGUUAA